ACGAACGCUGGCGGCGUGCUUAACACAUGCAAGUCGAACGGAAAGGCCCUGCUUUUGUGGGGUGCUCGAGUGGCGAACGGGUGAGUAACACGUGAGUAACCUGCCCUUGACUUUGGGAUAACUUCAGGAAACUGGGGCUAAUACCGGAUAGGAGCUCCUGCUGCAUGGUGGGGGUUGGAAAGUUUCGGCGGUUGGGGAUGGACUCGCGGCUUAUCAGCUUGUUGGUGGGGUAGUGGCUUACCAAGGCUUUGACGGGUAGCCGGCCUGAGAGGGUGACCGGCCACAAGGGGAGUGAGAUACGGCGCAGACUCAUGCGGGAGGCAGCAGUGGGGAGUAGUGCACAAUGGGCGGGAGCCUGAUGCAGCAACGCCGCGUGCGGGAUGACGGCCUUCGGGUUGUAAGCCGCUUUCGCCUGGGACGAAGCGUGAGUGACGGUAAUGAGUAAAGAAGCACCGGCUAACUACGU
rnacentral:rRNA from 1 species